rnacentral:ncRNA from 1 species
CCAGCUUGCACGUACCUGGAAUCUAAAAAAAUUGAAAUUGUUCCAUUUCAGGACUGAAUGAAAAUUUUUGACUUUGCAGUCGGAAUUGCGAAGACAUUUUGACGUACAAAUCGAUCAUCUGACUUUGGUAUAGGGGCGAAAGACUAAUCGAACUAUCUAAUAGCUGAUUUCCUCUGAAUUUCUCGCAGGAUAACUGAAGCAUAUAAUGAAGCUGUUAUAUUCGAUAAAACGAAUGAUUAGUGGGACGAAAUGUCUUGAGUAUGGCGUCUUGCUUGCUUGAAUGAAGCGUAGACAUGAAAUGUGUGUCCAACUAGGCUUUUUUUUUGAUAAACGAAACUGGCGCUGUGGGAUGAACCAAAUGUCAAGAAAUUGUAAGUCUUUCGCUCAAAUGACAUCCAUGUUCAGGGCUAGUUGUCCAAGAAUCACAUAAAUAGGCUUCAAGUUACAUAGAUGUUGUUG